AGCAAUAUGAAGGUCAGGCUGAAGACCUUACCCGAUUAGCUGAGAGGUGGUGCAUGGCCGUCGUCAGUUCGUACUGUGAAGCAUCCUGUUAAGUCAGGCAACGAGCGAGACCCACGUCCACAGUUGCCAGCAUACCCUCCGGGGUGAUGGGUACACUGUGGAGACCGCCGCUGCUAAAGCGGAGGAAGGAGUGGGCAACGGUAGGUCAGUAUGCCCCGAAUCUCCCGGGCUACACGCGGGCUACAAUGGUUGGUACAAUGGGCAUCUACCCCGAAAGGGGAAGGAAAUCUCUUAAAGCCAAUCGUAGUUCGGAUUGAGGGCUGCAACUCGCCCUCAUGAAGCUGGAAUCCGUACGUAAUCGCGUUUACAACAAGAACGCGGUGAAUACGUCCCUGGCUCCUU
rnacentral:rRNA from 1 species